rnacentral:lncRNA from 1 species
AUGUCAACUCUUUUUGUUACAGACAUGGGGAAUGAGCAGUGCACCUAUUGCUGGGUACCUCUUGCUUUGGUAACUACAAUUAUGAUUAUUUCCUUGCUGAAAAAUAUUUCAUACUAUUUAAAAGAAAAGAAACAAAAAGAAUACUUUCCAGGUUACAUAUAUGAAGACAACCCUGAAAAUAGCCCAAGUUAUGGUGAAUUUAAUACUGAAGAAUCUCCUGUUUAUGACAACCUAAAUCACCGCCGUCUAGAAAUGCUAGGUAAGUUGCAUUUAAGGUUUUCAUUUUAUUUCACUUCUGACAUGGGAGGUGAAACAUAAUCUCAACCACACCUACCCCUCUAUAUUUGCAGGCUGCACCAUCCACUCCUUGAAAAUACCUCACUCCCCAAAAUCCAAAAAGCAAACCUUUAUUUUUCCAUUGCAAAUAAGGGAUACUAUUUUCCUACACCACUUUUAUCAUAAGACUUGAGCAUCCAGCUUUUAGUAUUCAUGAAGUUUCCUGGAACCAAGUCCCAGCAGAUAUCAAAGGACCACUUCCAAAUCCAUCCAUAUAUUGCACAAGAUUUCUCUAGCCUAAAAUGAUAAAUUUUAAUAUAUUGGGUUUAUGGUUCCCGUCCCCUUGAUCAGGUCAUGUAAGUGUUAUUUAUUGCUAUAAUUGUAUUAUUUUACUUUGCUUAAAUCAUGUGUUAUUAUGUUGCUAUGUAAUGUUUGUGUUGUUUUUAUGAUUGGAAACCACCCUGAGUCCCAUCUGGGAGAUAGGGCGGUAUAUAAAUAAAGUUUUAUUAUUAUAAUAUUAUUAUUAUCUUGAGCAUUCUGAAACCUGCAGAACAUUCCACUUCUUUUCAAGCAAAAAAUCACUUCUCUAUUGCACAAAAAUACAACCUAGAUUGGACCCAUAAUGGCCCUCUCACCCCAGUACCUGCAAACUAUUUUCAGCAACUUGAUUAAUUAAAAUACAUUAAAGAAAAAUUUAAAAACUCAAAUAUUUAAUUUUGGAAGAAUCUCCUACCUUCAAACAGCAAGUCUUCCAUUAAAUUUCCCCAAGGCAACCAAGCUCAUACAUUUCCAGUUGUAAAAAUGGCUGUGCCCUCCAGAAUUGUUGGAAAUCAACAGGCUCAACCCUGUGACCUCCAGAGUUAUGUCAAUUCCUUCCUUAUGUAAACUUCCUGAGUCCCUCCGGGUGAGAAGGGCGGGAUAGAAAUAUUUGAAAUAAAUAAAUAAAUAAAUAAAUAAAUAAAUAAAUAAAAUAAACUUCAAUUUUCAUCUGAAAAAAUGGAUGACAAACCUAGACGUGAAAAUGGACAUACACCACCUAUGACACUGAUUUUUAGCUGAAAUUCCUGAGAUAUAGCCUGCCACUAGGGCAAAACGUCCUUGCUCCAAUUGCCCAGUCAGAUAAUAUAACUGAAACCAAACAUUCUAUGUGGGGUGAAUUACUACAUUUUGUUUUGAAAAGAAAUAGAACGUCUAUGAGAACAAGCCCUAUGAGGAGCGGCUUAAAGAGCUGGGCAUGUUUAGCCUGCAGAAGAGAAGGCUGAGAGGAGACAUGAUAGUCAUGUACAAAUAUGUGAGGGGAAGUCAUAGGGAGGAGGGAGCAAGCUUGUUUUCUGCUGCCCUGCAGACUAGGACACAGAACAAUGGCUUCAAACUACAGGACAGGAGAUUCCACCUGAACAUCAGGAAGAACUUCCUCACUGUGAGAGCUGUUCGACAGUGGAACUCUCUCCCCCGGACUGUGGUGGAGGCUCCUUCUUUGGAGGCUUUUAAGCAGAGGCUGGAUGGCCAUCUGUCGGGGGUGCUUUGAAUGCGAUUUCCUGCUUCUUAGCAGGGGGUUGGACUGGAUGGCCCAUGAGGUCUCUUCCAACUCUACUAUUCUAUGAUUCUAUGAUUCUAUGAUUCUAUGACUAACGUCAUAUUUAGAAAUUAUGAUAUUGUAAAAUGGUUUUAAGAACUUAUAAUUUAGAAUUCACAUUUAUUAUUAUUGCUGAUCAAAGUGAGCCUGAAACACUACCUUUGCUAAUAAUGCCCCAACCAAAAGGUUUCUGAGAUUCUGCAAGGGACAUUAAGGACAUCAUCACACGGCCCAAAAUUUGGUGGUGGCAUGGUUUUUUUGUACUUUUGUCACGGAGCCUGCCGGCUCCCAUCACACACAUUAAAAGUACUUUUGGGGCAGUUCCAUGGUGGAACUGUCUCAAAAAUCAUGCCACUGCUGAAAAAUUUCCAGCAGUGGACGAUGGGAGGAUUCCUGUCUUUCCAUAAGAAAAGAUGGGUUAGCCCCCUUCUAAGCCAGCUCCACUGGCUGCCGAUAUGCUACUGAGCCCAAUUCAAAGUACUGGUUUUGACCUAUAAAGCUCUAAACAGUUCUGGCCCUAUUUACUUGUCUGAACGUAUCUCCUUCUAUGAGCCAGCAAGAUCCCUAAGAUCAUCCGGAGAUGCCCUGCUCUCGGUCCCACCUGCCUCGCAAGCAC